rnacentral:rRNA from 1 species
GACGAACGCUGGCGGCGUGCUUAACACAUGCAAGUCGAACGGAAAGGCCCUGCUUUUGUGGGGUGCUCGAGUGGCGAACGGGUGAGUAACACGUGAGUAACCUGCCCUUGACUUUGGGAUAACUUCAGGAAACUGGGGCUCAUACCGGAUAGGAGCUCCUGCUGCAUGGUGGGGGUUGGAAAGUUUCGGCGGUUGGGGAUGGACUCGCGGCUUAUCAGCUUGUUGGUGGGGUAGUGGCUUACCAAGGCUUUGACGGGUAGCCGGCCUGAGAGGGUGACCGGCCACAUUAGGACUAAGAUACGGCCCAGAAUCCUACGGGAGGCAGCAGUGGGGAAUAUUACACAAUGGGCGGAAGCCUGAUGCAGCAACGCCGCGUGCGGGAUGACGGCCUUCGGGUUGUAAACCGCUUUCGCCUGUGACGAAGCGUGAGUGACGGUAAUGGGUAAAGAAGCACCGGCUAACUACGUG